UACGAAGGGGGCUAGCGUUGCUCGGAAUCACUGGGCGUAAAGGGUGUGUAGGCGGGUCUUUUUUUUUUUAAGUCAGGGGUGAAAUCCUGGAGCUCAACUCCAGAACUGCCUUUGAUACUGAAGAUCUUGAGUUCGGGAGAGGUGAGUGGAACUGCGAGUGUAGAGGUGAAAUUCGUAGAUAUUCGGAAGAACACCAGUGGCGAAGGCGGCUCACUGGCCCGGUACUGACGCUGAGGUGCGAAAGCGUGGGGAGCAAACAGG
rnacentral:rRNA from 1 species